GUGCUCACUUAGGCAGCACAUAUACUAAAAUUGCAAUGAUACAGAGAAGAUUAGCAUGGCCCCUGUGCAAGGAUGACAUGCAACUUUGUAAAGCAUUGCAUAUUUUU